rnacentral:rRNA from 1 species
UACGGGGGGAGCAAGCGUUGUUCGGAUUUACUGGGCGUAAAGGGCGCGUAGGCGGCGCAACAAGUCACUUGUGAAAUCUCCGGGCUUAACCCGGAGCGGUCAAGUGAUACUGUCGUGCUAGAGUGCGGAAGGGGCAAUCGGAAUUCUCGGUGUAGCGGUGAAAUGCGUAGAUAUCGAGAGGAACACCUGAGGUGAAGACGGGUUGCUGGGCCGACACUGACGCUGAGUGCGCGAAAGCCAGGGGAGCAAACGGG